rnacentral:rRNA from 1 species
CCUACGGGUGGCAGCAGUGGGGAAUAUUGCACAAUGGGGGAAACCCUGAUGCAGCAACGCCGCGUGGGUGAAGGAGCGUUUCGGCGCGUAAAGCCCUGUCAGCGGGGAAGAAGAAAGACGGUACCCGACCAAGAAGCCCCGGCUAACUACGUGCCAGCAGCCGCGGUAAUACGUAGGGGGCAAGCGUUAUCCGGAUUUACUGGGUGUAAAGGGAGCGUAGGCGGCAGCACAAGUCUGGAGUGAAAUCCCGGGGCUUAACCCCGGAACUGCUUUUGAAACUGUGCGGCUGGAGUGCAGGAGGGGUAAGCGGAAUUCGUAGUGUAGCGGUGAAAUGCGUAGAUAUUAGGAGGAACACCGGUGGCGAAGGCGGCUUACUGGACUGUAACUGACGUUGAGGCUCGAAAGCGUGGGGAGCAAACAGGAUUAGAUACCCCAGUAGUC